GGCCUAACACAUGCAAGUCGAACGGCUCUUCGGAGCAGUGGCGGACGGGUGAGUAACGCGUGGGAACGUGCCCAAAGGUACGGAACAACUGAGGGAAACUUCAGCUAAUACCGUAUGUGCCCUUAGGGGGAAAGAUUUAUCGCCUUUGGAGCGGCCCGCGUUGGAUUAGCUAGUUGGUGGGGUAAAGGCCCACCAAGGCUACGAUCCAUAGCUGGUCUGAGAGGAUGAUCAGCCACACUGGGACUGAGACACGGCCCAGACUCCUACGGGAGGCAGCAGUAGGGAAUCUUGCGCAAUGGGCGAAAGCCUGACGCAGCCAUGCCGCGUGAAUGAUGAAGGUCUUAGGAUUGUAAAAUUCUUUCACCGGGGAAGAUAAUGACGGUACCCGGAGAAGAAGCCCCGGCUAACUUCGUGCCAGCAGCCGCGGUAAUACGAAGGGGGCUAGCGUUGCUCGGAAUUACUGGGCGUAAAGGGCGCGUAGGCGGACAGUUUAGUCAGAGGUGAAAGCCCAGGGCUCAACCUUGGAAUUGCCUUUGAUACUGGCUGUCUUGAGUUCGGGAGAGGUGAGUGGAAUGCCGAGUGUAGAGGUGAAAUUCGUAG
rnacentral:rRNA from 1 species